rnacentral:rRNA from 1 species
GAUGAACGUUGGCGGCGUGCCUAAUACAUGCAAGUCGAGCGAACAGACGAGGAGCUUGCUCCUCUGACGUUAGCGGCGGACGGGUGAGUAACACGUGGAUAACCUACCUAUAAGACUGGGAUAACUUCGGGAAACCGGAGCUAAUACCGGAUAAUAUAUUGAACCGCAUGGUUCAAUAGUGAAAGACGGUUUUGCUGUCACUUAUAGAUGGAUCCGCGCCGCAUUAGCUAGUUGGUAAGGUAACGGCUUACCAAGGCGACGAUGCGUAGCCGACCUGAGAGGGUGAUCGGCCACACUGGAACUGAGACACGGUCCAGACUCCUACGGGAGGCAGCAGUAGGGAAUCUUCCGCAAUGGGCGAAAGCUUGACGGAGCAACGCCGCGUGAGUGAUGAAGGUCUUCGGAUCGUAAAACUCUGUUAUUAGGGAAGAACAAAUGUGUAAGUAACUAUGCACGUCUUGACGGUACCUAAUCAGAAAGCCACGGCUAACUACGUG